ensembl:lncRNA
CGCCAGGCAAUGCAGUAAGCACCUACGCACAUGAGUUUGUUUACUUCUCUCAAAAACACUAGGUUGAGUUGUGUCCUCCUGAAUAAAUAUGUUGGAGUCCUAGCCCUGGUACCUCCGAAUGUGACUUUAUUCGGAAAUAGUCUCUUUGCCCUAUUAAACAAGUUCAAAUGUAGUUACUGAAAUGGGUGCUAAUCCAAUAUGGCUGGUGUCUUUGUAAAUAUUGGGAAAUUUGGACACAGGGACAGACACACACGGAGGGAAGAUGAUGUGAAGGCCACGUGAAGACGAAGACAGAGAUUGGAGUGAUGCAUCUGCAAGCCAGAGAGUGCCAGCAGCCACCAGAACCAGGAGACAGGCCUGGAAGGAACCAACGUUGGCAAUACCUCAGUUUUGGCACUCUAGCCUCCAGAACUGUGAGGUGAUAAAUUCCCGGAAUUAGGCCAUCCAGUUUCUGGUACUUUGUUAUGGCAGCCCUAGGAAAUGAAUACAUUCAAUGAAGGAGGCACUAUUAAUUGUUCCCAUUUUGCAGAUGAGGAAACUGAGGCACAGAGGAAUGAAGGGAUUUGCACAGCUGUGCAAUCAGGGGAGGACACACAGAAUUUUUGAACCCCUUGCAACGAUUCAACCUUCUCUUCUUAUACGGACUUGAGGAAGCACAACUGCCCUCUUGAGAUUUUCAAGAAGGCAUUCUGACAGCUUUACCAGAUAAUCAAUAUAAUACAUAAAUGGCACCAGUGAAGUGCUAUUCUCCUUUCCAUUGCCUAGAGACGCCCUAAGUAUGAAACUCAAUUUUUCAGACACCUACUGUUCAACUAGGAGAGAUUUUGCCAUCUUCAAAGUGUGAAAGGAAAUGUCUUUUGGAAAAUAUGUUGAAAACAAUGUUACAGGAUGUUUGCACUUGCCUUUGUCAAGAAGUCCAAGUCCCUAAAUCAUAUUAUGAUAUUAUCAACUUCGAGAAGAACACCAAGCGGCUCCAGCUAAGCUUUUAUGCUAUGAAAAUGUGAAAUACUUUUCAUUUCUUUUAUUUUGUUCUGACUGUACUCAUCUAUGCUGUUAACGAAUGGAAGACCUUGGAAUUGUAGGUUCUUCAGUAAAAAAAUGAUGAGAAGGAAUUUUAGGUUCUUCAGUAAAAAAUUGAUGUGAGAUGAAGAACAGCCAAAAGGAAGGACACAGAAGUGGCUAGUGAAAUAAGGGGCUUGUCCCGGAUGGGACAGAACCAAAGAACAGAGGCAUGUUUGGUACCUGCAGAGAAACAACCAUUCUGCGCUCCGUCGGAAGGUCUGUUUUACCACCACUGUGACUACUCUAAGCUUUUCUUGUACUUUCUCACUUGCGGUACAGGAAGGGAGUCAAGUUCAUGAAGGGUCAAUACAGACAGACGCAUUUGUUUUAUCACAAGUUUUAGCCCCAGUGACUUCAUAGCAACAGUUGUAAAGUUUGCGUUAAGAAUUCGUAAGUAGUGUCCAGACUCACGAUAAAUGAGUACUGUGUGGCCAACAAUAUCCGUAUGAGUGGAGGAUGGUGGAGAGAUGUUAUGCAUGAAGGUAUUUAUUAUGCUUGGUUCAGGGUACCGUGUUUGGAGUUUGAGUGCCAUGGGAAGAAACAGCAAAGUCCUUUGACAGCAUAUACUUGAUAUUGUUCUUUCUUAU